rnacentral:rRNA from 1 species
ACGAGAAAGGGUAGCAAUACCUGAGUAAAGUGGCGCACGGGUGAGUAACACGUGACUAACCUACCCUGGAGUGGGGGAUAACUGAGGGAAACCUUAGCUAAUACCGCAUAAUACCCACGGGUCAAAGGAGCAAUUCGCUCUAGGAGGGGGUCGCGGCCGAUUAGUUAGUUGGCGGGGUAACGGCCCACCAAGACGAUGAUCGGUAUCCGGCCUGAGAGGGCGCACGGACACACUGGAACUGAAACACGGUCCAGACUCCUACGGGAGGCAGCAGUGGGGAAUUUUGCGCAAUGGGGGAAACCCUGACGCAGCAACGCCGCGUGGAGGAUGAAGUCCUUCGGGACGUAAACUCCUUUCGAUCGGGACGAUAAUGACGGUACCGGAAGAAGAAGCCCCGGCUAACUUCGUGCCAGCAGCCGCGGUAAUACGAGGGGGGCGAGCGUUGUUCGGAAUUAUUGGGCGUAAAGGGUGCGUAGGCGGUUUGGUAAGUCUUGUGUGAAAUCUACAGGCUCAACU